CACAGACGUCCCUCUCUUUUUCCCAGCAUUUUAUUGGUGGCCGUUUCGUUUCCAUCUCCUCCUUCCACCCCCGCGAGAAAACACACCACCUCCCUCCUCCUCCCCCGCGGAAAAAGCAGCACUACCACUAGAGUGUAUCUCUGGAAAAAAGAGUGAGAGAUUGAAUGCACCUUUGAAAUCUGCUCCAAGGCGAAAGCCGCAUCGCAGUAGCUUGGUCGCUGCAGAUACUCCCGGUUUGCAUCGCGCAAGUGCACGGGUCUGCCUCGGCCCUGUGCUCCGCCCGCGCACCUGAUUCUGGCUAUGACAUAAGAUCACAGUCUCCGGUUCUGCGGGGCAGCCUGAGCCUCCCUUUCCUUUUCCACUCGAGUGCCGUGCUGGCCACCGGGCCGGCGGGGGUUGCCGUCGAAGGGCGGCGGCCGCAGCGGGGAGCCGCUCCGCGGGGCAGCGCCGCCGCUCAGCGCCCGCGCCCGGGGAAGGAGGCGGGCGGCUUCUCCCCCUCCUCAGCCCUGGAAGAAAGGGAACUGCUCGAGCCAACUUGUCAAAAUAAUGCGGCUAAUUACCCCUGAUCUCCUUUAAUGGAAAGCUGCUCUGCACGCCACAAAGGAGCAAAUGAGGGAUCUACAGCACCAACCCAGGAGCGCUGGCAUUUUCUUCUGCAGAGGGCUGCGGGGAAAUGUGCCUCCAGAGGAGUCUCCGAGGCUUUUGGGCUCCUCCCGCACAGCAGCGGACUCCCAGAGGAGGACAAGAGCACAAACACAGGGAGCUGCGUGCGGAAGACAGGGGAUGGAAGAACAGCCCGCUCUGUCCAAAACCACGAGGACAUCCCAGCCCUAGCAGUCCUUGCCAUAUUCUACAAGGGGCUUUACCUCUAUAAACCCAAGUAGUCUUGAAAUCAGAUUCUUUUCCUGGCAAAAUGCCCCGCCACUUGCGGGACAUUAAUGUGCAUUGAGAGGGGAAAGUUACGCUGAACCUUUUUUAGCCAGCCUGGACAACACCAGGUCUGUGUUAAGAUAGAGCUCAAGUUUUGCAUGUGCCAGAAGGCAGAGCAUUCACUUCCAUGAUCUUUGCCAUCGGGCCUUGAAGAAAAAAAAAAAGCUGAACGGCACAAUCUCUUUGACCCAUUGCUGGAGCAACAAAUUUAUUAGAGAUAUAGGCGUGAGAAAUUAAAAGGAAGUAAAACAA